AGUCGAGAAUCAUUCGCAAUGGGCGAAAGCCUGACGGUGCGACGCCGCGUGGAGGAUGAAGGCCCUAGGGUCGUAAACUCCUGUCAUCAGGGAGUAAGGGCUUGCGCAGUCACUGGCGCGGGCAUUGAUAGUACCUGAAGAGGAAGGGACGGCAAACUUCGUGCCAGCAGCCGCGGUAAUACGAAGGUCCCAAGCGUUGUUCGGAUUUACUGGGCGUAAAGAGUCUGUAGGCGGCGGGGUAAGUCAGAUGUGAAAUCCCGGGGCUCAACCCCGGAACUGCAUCCGAUACUGCCUUGCUUGAGUAUUGGAGGGGAGCCUGGAAUUCUCGGUGUAGCAGUGAAAUGCGUAGAUAUCGAGAGGAACACUAGUGGCGAAGGCGAGGCUCUGGACAAUUACUGACGCUGAGAGACGAAGGUCAGGGGAGCGAA
rnacentral:rRNA from 1 species